rnacentral:lncRNA from 1 species
GGGCGAUUUGCGACGGUGGGGGCUGCGGCGGGCAACGACGGUGAGGCCUGGGUUUGGCCAGAUCUGGCCGGGGCUCACUCUCUCUCUCUCGGGUUCGCUCGUCAAGCUCCCCGAAGUCUCUCGGGGACCCCUCCGAGCUCACCACACCACGGCCGGCCUGCACUCGAGCUCCCCGAAGUCUCUCAGGGACCCCGAGCUUCGGCCGCCUCUUGCUUUCUUCCUCCUUUCUCUCUCUGUGUCUCUGUGCUUCGUCGACGGUGACCCCCCUCUAUUUAUAGGCGUGGGAGCGGCCGGUCGGCGAGGCUUCGACCCGCCGGUUGGGCCGCCGUCCCAUCCGCCAUCAUCUCCC